UUCAUUUUAAUAGGCACCGGAUCAAAACUGACUACAGUUCCAACCAGAAGUCUUUCGUUAUCCAUUGAUAACUCUGUUGUCACAUCCUCCCCUCAGGUUAAGAGUCUUGGUGUCGUUCUUGAUAGCACUCUGUCCUUCACAGCACAUAUAAAUGAUAUCACUCAGUCUUCUUACUUUCAUCUCCGUAAUAUUAACCAUUUUCGUCCCUCACUCACACCACACAGUACCGCCAUACUUGUCAAUGCUCUUGUCACAUCUCGUCUGGAUUACUGUAAUUCUCUUCUCUAUGGUCUACCUCAUAAAUCCCUCCAUAAACUGCAGUUGGUUCAAAAUACAGCUGCUCGUAUUAUUUCCAGAACUGGAUCCACUGAACAUAUAACACCUGUUCUUAAACAGCUCCAUUGGCUCCCAGUUCACCUCCGUGUCAAUUUCAAGAUCCUGCUUCUCACUUUCAAAGCGCUCCAUAACCUCGCUCUUCCAUAUCCAUCCGAUCUUCUCCAUACAUGCUCACCCCUUCGUACACUCCGCUCUUCUUCAGCUUCCCUUCUGUCAGUUCCACCUGCUCGCCUGACUACCACGGGACUCAGAGCCUUUAGUUGUUCUGCCCCGAGACUUUGGAUGCACUUCCACUUGCUCUGCGGACCACACGCUGUCUCACCACUUUUAAAUCACUACUCAAAACCCAUCUGUUUAGAAUUGCAUACACCUGAUCUGUCUUAGGCCAUUUUUACCUUGCUCAGUUUUUAUAUUUGCUUUUAUACUUUUAUGAUUGUUUAUGUCUAAAUUUUAUCUACCAUGUUUGCUAUAUAUAAAUUUUUUUGAAUGUUUUUUAUGGUAUUGUUUAUGUGCUACUGUAAGGUGACCUUGAGGGUCUGAAAGGAGCCUAUAAAUAAAAUGUAUUAUUAUUAUUAUUAUUAUUAUUCCAUCAUUCUGCUGCUGGAUUUACUGCAGGCUCCUUUGCUACGUGUCUAUAAGCUGCUGUGCUCUUCACAAAUAAAGCCUGAAACAGCUCUGACUGU
rnacentral:lncRNA from 1 species